rfam:Oryza nivara chromosome 7, whole genome shotgun sequence.
AAUAAACCCUGAUUUUCGUACUUAACGUUUGACCGUCCGUCUUCUUUAAAAAAUUAUAAAAAAAAUUAAAAAGACAAGUCACGUAUAAAAUAUUAAUCGUGUUUUAUCAUCUAACAACAAUAAAAAUACGAAUUAUAAAAAAAUUUUAUAUAAGAUGGACAAUCAAAGUUGGACAUGGAAACCUAGGGUUUGCCUUUUU